ensembl:lncRNA
GUUGAAUUAUUUAUUCUGUAUACACAUUCAAUUCAAACAGCACAGAAGUUAUGACAAGUCAGAACUCAAUUACAAAAACAUGUUUUGUAUGACUUUAGUGUACAAGUAUGUGUCCCUUUCUUUAUUGCAGGUAUGUUCAAAACUGUCUAUCUCUCUGAAUAAGGAUAAUAAUAACAAUCAGGCAAUGAGACGGCUAUUAAUCUGACUGCUUCAAUACUGUAUCCAACACAUUUCAUGUAGAACAUUCCCUGAUCACUAUGAACACAUGCAGAUAAUAUUUGUAAUUGGAAAAACGCAGCAUUUGAUGGAUAUACAGUAAAUGGAUGGAAUCUUCACCAAACAAUGUCUUUCUUUUCACUGUGUCAGUCAAACAUUAAACAACAUUUGCAAUACAGCCAGAGGGUGAGUCAUUCACAUUUAUUUGCAUAGAGUAGUCAGUUCUAUUCAUAAAGUAACUAAUUGCACAUGACAGAGGAUAGACAUCCAGAGAGCUUCUCUUGUAAGCAGCCCACACAUUAGGGCACUGUAGUGCUUCUCUGAAGCCCAGUACACUCCAGAGUACUCUAAAUAGUACAAUAGGGACCAAACCACACACACACACACUCACACGCGCACACGGACCACACACACACACACUUAGAUUAAGGUAUGAACACAUGUUGAUCUCAUCCCUUUUGAUUUCACAUCAUACACACAUUGUCUUACAUUCUGCUGUAAUGUUAAAAGUUAUAUUGAAACUAUACACUCUCAGCCAGGGAAAAGAGAACAUUCAUUACCCAAGUGCAAUAUCUCUGCAGAUAAUCCGUGUGCAACUUCUGCAAACAAUUUCUUCUAAUAACUCCAAACAUUGUCCUUACAGUAAAUCUCUCCAAGCAUUAAUUUUAGGGGGGAUUCUUCAGUGCCCUAAUUUCUCAGUGUUUGACUGGAGAGGAUGCCAAUGAGGAAGGCCUUGCGUGACAUCCUGGGAUCUGACAUGCUAUUCCCGCUGGUGCGUCUAAACCGACUGCCAGGGCCCAGGGCUCAGGGCUCAGGGCUGAUGGAAGAGGCUUCCUCUGGAGGUUGUCAACACCAGCAGGACCUGGAGGCACAGAGAUAAAAAAACAACAUGUAAGUCACCCAUGUCACGUUGCUUAACACAAGAACCCAGAACACAGCGUAUUGGUUAACUGUAAACAGUGACCAGUAUUGUUUUAGGUCACAGUAAGAUGGAGGGAUGACAAUGAUCUUGGCCUUGAUGCUUGAUGGAAUCUAGUUUGGGAGCAGGGAAUGUGUCAGACAGUGAAUGAUUGGUUAAAAAAUAAAUGUGGAUGUACAGUCUUCCAUCUAUUUCUACAUUGGGUUAUUCAAAACACAUUAACACCAGUUUCGGUACUUGGAGUACACCAAUAGAAAUGUUAUGAAUAAUAAGGACAAUUGUGUUACAGUAUGUGCAAAGUAAUUUCAGAGAGGACAGAAACAGAAAAGGACAGAUUUUACCAAUAAAAAGAAUCAUUGUGAAUUCAUGUGGGAUAUUACAGUUUUCUGAUAACUGUGUUUAUUGCGUCAUCCUUAACUGUCAUCAACUUAACAACUAAGACAAAUCUAGCUGUCUCUCAUCAAGUUUUGAAUAUACACGGGGCAGUCUACCCGCACCAUUACCAAUUUCACCAAAUUAUAUAUAGAGAGGUUUCUGGACAAUUUAAUCCCACCGGGGGACUUGGCCAGACCCUUUCUCUGUCAAUUUUCCACCCUCUCCCUUAUUCAAGCCCCCUCUUUUUUCUCUUCCUCCACAAUGCGGGAUCUCUCCCUCUUUCUUUUUUAUGUUCUCUCAUAUAUUUUUUUCUCUGCGGCUCCCCUCGCCGCCAAACCCUCAGACAGCAUGCAGCUUAUGCAAAUCAUCAGCCUUUUAUGCUCAAUACUCGUCCUCAGUCCUGAAUGAGACCUCAACAAAACACACACACACACACACUCAGGUUCAUUUAAAAUGUCCAAAUACACAUAGCCCCCAGUGUUCUCACUCAAAGUCUUUAGCACCAUUCCAGUCCAUUUGUAUUUGAAAGCCUCAACCUGACUGGAUGAGCUCCCAGUUAGUAGGGUAGGAAGAGGCAGACAGAUGAGAGGGUCCUGCUUCUACUGUCCCAGAGAGGGAGGGAGGGAUGCAUAGGAGAGACAGGAUGGGAGAAAGAUGGAGGGAGAGUGAAGGAGACAGGGAGGUAAGGAGUGAGUGAUGGAGAGAGGGGAGUCUAAUGAAUAUAAAAUGUUCUCUGUGCUUCUGUGUUCCCAGGCUCUGGCCUGUCUGCUAGGGGACAGGAGGAGGAUGGGAGGGGGACCAGAGUGGGGGGACAGGGUGCCUUUGCCCAGCUGUAAGGGGGACCUAAGGGACUUCUCACACACUUUCUGACAGGCUGUCCCUUUCACCAGCACAUAGCUGGGCCCGCCAGGCCUGCUACCAUAACAACGCUGCAGCCCCUCUGUCAUAGCAACGCCACGGAAACGCCACAGAACACUGGGCUCCCCCAGCCUGCCUUGGACACGACCAUCAGGGGGAGGAUGGGAAGGGGGUUGACAAAAGUAGAUGAAGAAGUACUGAAUGUGAAUCAGAGUCUAGACAUUCCCACCGCUGUGAACUUGAACUUGACAGACAGCCUGAAAUGUUCACAGGUCGUGUGAGUGAUGCGCAGAUAGAGAGAUACACGCAGCACAAUGGAGGUGAAGACUAUCUAGUGAUACAUUCCUUAACCUUUUCUAAAUGAUCCCACAAUAAAUGGAUACAAAAUGCCUUUAUUUAUGAUGAAGUGGUCAUUAAAACUUGUUUGGUUGACCAAUUGUUUGCCCACAUUUGGUGAAAACACCAUAGCCUUUAGCUAGGGCUGUUCUGGCCGCUGUCUCCAUACUAAUGCCUGUAAGCUGAGGCAGGCCCAUGUCUGGGGGUCCACGCUGUUUAUGGCCACUGGGCCAUGGGAAGAAAAGAGAUGUGAAAGGUCCCCUGUUGCCGUUACAAAGCUGAGAACAAUCCUUGGCGGGAUAAUCGCGUUUAUCCCCAGAUUAAGACGAGAUCGCAGCUGAGGUAUCCUCACAGGAGGAGAGGAGAGGGAGUGUAAAACAUACAAUCUUUAGACAAAGCUCAGAGCAGGGUGUGUGAUUUAGUCCCUUUUAUGGACAAGUUAUAACAUUGAAUGUGAUGGAAGAUUACUUAAAUGUGUUUAUCUACAUGGGUCUGAACCCACCCGUCAGUUGUUAAUUCUGCCUGGAUCAUGGUGAAAAAACUGUAUUGAUUCAUUGGUUGUGUUUAGCAGCGGGGUCUUGAUAAAAUCCACAAGGCUUCAGCUACAGUACAAUGUGGGAUUUGGGAACCACAGCUUUAGGUGUUCAGUGGAGGUGUAACAGAAGCAUUCACAGCCAUUCUAUUCUUAUUGUUAACCCAUUCUCUAACAGCCCACUUGACCUCAUGAGAAAUGGCAGAAUAGAGCUACGGUAACACUCUGAAAAGAAAGAACUCAUUUUAUAGUCAUAACCCAAGUAUGAUCGGUAUCUUGCAUUUGAUUCAGAUUGAGCUCCUUAGUGGGAUAAUACAAGGUGGUUCCAGACAGCUCCCAGACCCCUGUUCACCCUGUCUAUGAAUAUGCCAGCUGCAGCCUCAGCCACAUGGAAACACAGACAGACACACAGAGGCAGACAGUACAUCCCCUCCCCCAACACACACACUGACUGUCCACACAAACAUAUAAACACACAGAAGUGCAUAAAAACACACAGAUACUAUGCAUAAAUACACACACACACGCACAAACUCCCCACCACCUUACAUUCUGAAUGGAUAAACCUGUUAACGCUCAAACAUAAUUUCUCUCUCUUUACAACUGUUUUAAACAUGAUAUUUAAGUGAGCUCUUCUGUGCUAUCCCUCUCACAUUCUCUUUCAUUACCUUUGUUUACCUCUCAUUCUUUUCUUCCUGCAUACAUUAUCACCUAUUAUCAUUGUCUGAAUGCCUUACUGUGAAAUAUUGUUGUCUGCCCCUUGGUAAAAACAACUUCUCUCCCUCCUUUCUCUCUCAUUUUCCCUCUGGCUGCCUCCUUUUACAGGGUAAUAUAUUGUGAUUGUCAUUUAAUUAAUAGCCUGUCUGUAGGGGAAGGGAAAUCGGGAAUACAGUCUGCCACCCAGCUCAAAUGUAACAUGACAUUCUCAAUGCCAAAUUGUUAAUCCAUACUAACAAAUUAUGCCUUUUUAAAUCAUAAAAUUCAGUGAAGAUUUUACAUCUGUGAAUGAUUGAAAAUUGUUCUCCCAUAAACAACCAUUAAUAUGCUGGCUGUUAUAGACACAAGGUAGUUGAAGCUUUUAUGAGGGGCAGUAACCCCCAGCGUACUCAGUGAGUUAAGAUACGUUUAGGUUUUCCAACAUUGUAACUAUGAAUAAUAUUUUAAACACAUGCCUCUGAUUAUCCUUUAACUUAUUAUUUUAACAGUGCAACAUCAUUUAAAAAAUAGCUAAUUUAGGGCUUUAAACUAAUUUGAUCAUUUGUGCAAAACACACACACACACACACACACACACACACACACACACACACACACACACACACACACACACACACACACACACACACACACACACACACACACACUGAGACACAUUCACUAACACACACAGACAUAAAUACAUAGAAAAACGGGGAGAGGGGCUGCUUUUCCAGGGGGCACUCUCAUGGUUUUGGCGCUAAUGCAGGCAUCUGGCAGUGUCUGGUCUGGAGCGUCUUUCCCACCCCAUUACCCCCUGUGUCUCCUGCAGCACCCACCCACACAAUGGUGGGAAAGAGGGGUGGUGGACCUCCGUCAAGAGCUCUCCUCACAAAGCAGUCAUUGUGGAGGGGAGCCAGGAGCAGAAUGAUAAUGUGGACUCCAUCUACUGUUUACCAACAGGCAGACUAGCUACAGACAGACAGCUGUAGUACACAGUGCACUACACCAACCUGCAGCCCUGCAGCCCAGGCUCAAAGAUCACAGCUCACUGUGGCUCUCUGCUCUGUUCCCCAGUGCCAGGAGCUAAAAGAGACAUUUAACAGGAAUCUGUAUGGAUGUUUUGUACGUGGGUGAGAGUGAGAGUGAGAGUGUGUGUGUGUGUCUGUGUGUGUGUGUGUGUGUGCAUGUGUGUCUUUCUGUUCACGUGUGCAUUUCAGACUGCCGUGUCUAUGGGCACCCUACAAUGUGGUAUUAAUCACAUUGCGGAAAGAUAGCAUUGUCCCAUUCUCUUAUAGAACACAUUUAAAUCCAGCCAGGUCACUCGUGAUACAAGUCAAUAUUAGACGUCCAUCCAUGUCUGAGGACAUUGGGAGAUGAUGUGGAAACCGGCCACCAGAGGCAACAGUGAGUGCUUUUACAGUCAAAUAGGUUUGGGUUUUGCUAGGGUGUUGUGGACAGGAUGGAGGAUGGGCUUAACGUUGGUUGUUCUAAUUCAGCGAUAGGAAGUUGUUUUUGAGAUUUUUGUUUUAAACCUAUCCCAAACCUUAAACCGUACCUUAAUCAUUUGGAGUUAACGCCUAACCUUAAGACUUUGGAGUUACAGUAGUGCCUAAACUUAACCCUAACCUUAAAAAUGUGGAGCUAAUGCCUAAACUUAACCUUAAACACUUCGAAAUGUGACAUUUGAGAAACAUGGAUGAACGUCUAAUUCUGACGUGAGACUGUGAGAGCUAGUUGUUCAAAUCAACGUGUUUUGGUUCACACAGCCAAUGUCUAAUUAAAACGUGCAUCUACUCGGCACAUGUGCGUGCAGAAUGCAACAUCACCAGCCAUUACAGUAAAAACAUCUGCCUUAAACUGAUGCUGUCCUAGGUGCUGAAUUAGAUUGCAAUGCUACUGCAUUCACUGACAAACCACUGAUUACAUACUGUACAACUGGCUCCCACCACAUCACCAGCAAAUAAUUCCCUGUGUCCAGCGUUAACAAUCAGGAUUGAAGACAAUGGGGAGAUAUGCAUGUAGUCUACUGUAACAGCAAUAGUCUUCUUCAUUAACUGGGAACUAGGCCAUAUGAAAUCAAUCCACCCAAUGAAAACAAAGAGAUCAGUCAUGUUUACAGAUUUCAUAACCUUUAAACCUGUCAACCAGGAGGAUUAUAGACAGAGCAUUCUCUAUAUCGCCCCCCAAUUAGUAGUAAGAAUCAUCCAAAUACAAGCCCACUGUUUCUGAGUAAAUGGGACAUGAAGCAUCAGGAUCAAAAUAGGUCUAUUUUAGUCCCACAGUCAGUCUGAAAUGGAACAGUCUUUGUAUCUGCAUUCAUGUGUUGAAAGUAGAAUAUAUAGGAUAUGAGGAUUUUAUGACAGCUAUAUGGUGGGAAAUUAUCACUGUAAGAACUUUCUCUCACAUGAAUGCAAAAUAACUCACAUCCAUGCUCUGUGAGAAUAGUUGCUAUGGCACCUAAUCCACAUAGUGGAAAUGAUUAAUUAAUUGAUACAGCCAGAUGUGAUAGUAUUCGAAUAGACUUAACAAAGCAUAUUCAAUGUCAUAGGCUUUGCCUUGGGCGCGCACACACACACACACACACACACACACACACACACACACACACACACAUCAUCAUAUUUACAUCAAAUGCUAUUCAUUAUGAGAUUCCCUACAACUGAUUGUAGGUUUAAUUAACACAUUGUGUGUAGAGCUAGUCCUUUGCUUCUUCCAGUAAGCUUCUUUAUAUCUGCCCAUCCCUGUAUUCUAUGCAGUGACACAUCUGCGAUGGAGGCCUUGAGAAUAUGUAAAUCAGGUAUGAGGAGGCCCCUCCCCCCUAUGGAGAGACUGCUAGUCUAAUUAAAGGUUGCCUGGGCAUUAAAGGCACAGUUGUCCUUUGUUGUAUUAAAGGCAUAGUGGAUUUCCUUCAUCAUAAUAAAGGCACAUUUUUUUCUUUGUUAUGUUAAAGCUACAGUAAUCUUUGAUUGUACUAAAAUACAUAGUGGUUAAUCAUUUAUCAUCCCAUGUAAUGUACAUGAUGAUGAAUACAUGCACGUAUGGGUAGGCUAGCUACUGUAGAUCUUUCAUCCAAUGCACGUAAGAUGGAUGUAUAAUCACUCAACAAGCAUUGCGAUCUUAUUCUUGUGUGUACAAACAAUCAAGCAUGCAUUUUUUUGGGAUACGAAUUAAUGUUGCUCCAAAUGAAUGCUAUUUCCCUACAUGAUUUAGUGGGGUAUUAUCCCUAAAUCAAAAUAUCAUAGAAACAUAAUAUACCAUAUGAUGUCAGGUGGAACGUGUCUAUAGGCCUAUUUUUUGUUGUUGUAAUUAAAUGAAAUCAUAAUUUAACAAUUGACAUUGUAUUUACCAUAUAGGAGGCAUUAGGCUGUAUGUAUUAUAAGUCACUCUCUCUUUGUAUCUGGUGUGGUUUCGUUUGGCUGCCAUAAAGGUUUCAUAAAAAGAUACCCUACUGUAAGGGAUGAUCUACACUGGCUUUUACAUUUCAUUAGUUACAGUAAAGGGACUUCAGGAUUUAGGGGAUAUUCGGGUUAAACUGGAUAUUUUUACAUUUGGCAAAAAUUAAUCCCACAUUUUCCACUUUGCUGUCGCGUGUCUCGUGCAGCUAAACCCUACGCGAAUACAAGGCUGCAGCCCGCGCCUCUAAUGUGCUGCUGUUCCUUUAAAGAGGGCUCUGCAUUCUCUCCUCGUUUCUAUGCAAUUAUGUUAAUAUACAGAGCUUGUCUGGUGCUCUUCAUUAACGGCUGCAGUUGCAUCAUUGUUUCCUUUAUUUGUUAUCUCUGUAAAGCCAAUGAUUCAGUAACAGGCUAUAUUUAGGUGUUUUCUUCCUUACAAAUAUGUGGUCUUUAAUAGUGAUGGAUUAAGUAGGCCGUAUGUAAAGUAUUUUUAUAAAUAUUAGCGUUUAUUUGUGGGUUUUCUAUUGCAAAUUAUCUUAUCUCAAGGUCGUGCUUUGCAUCCGGUUUGUGUUGGACAUCGGUUUCUAAAUAGACAGACAAGGUCCUACCUUCAUACAAAGCUGAAGGCAGCAGCGUCAGAACCUGACGACUACAGGGAGCCAGCUCAGAUCUGGGUCAUGCUGCCACCAGCACAAACCAGGAACAUACUGGAGCUUUUACACAUCUUCAUCUCCACCAAGGCUCCCAUGGAGGCAUAGAGAAACCUGAAGCCAAGAGGCACGGAGCUGCAUCCUAGCACCUGUCAUUCACACCCACAUUGGUUCAUGUUCUGUUUUCAACCUCUCUCUCAUAUUCUCUCCUCUCAUCAUGCCUCUCUAUAUCUGCCAUUAGCUGUUACUCUACCAUAUAAUAUGCACAUGUACUGUAUACCUUACUUACCAUAUAGUAGACAGCGUGUGCUGUUCACACUGCAGAGUUUCUGUGUGUAUCUCAGGCAGCCACUGCAGUGACAAGGGCACUGGAUCAACCUUUGACAAUAACAAAGACAUUUCCAAAUACAAUACAAUUGCAAUAGUGAGAAAAAAAACUACACGUAUCCAUUAAAACAAUACGCUUGAAUUCUCAUCACUAACAUUCAGCGACAAUUAAUUUGACCAUUGUCGGGUUAUAGAAUAGUCAUGCCAAGGGUUCUUCUACAACAUUCAAAGGACAUGUUUAUUUGGAUUAGGCCUAGAGAAGAAUAGAGUGGUGAGAUAGAUGUGGUUGAUUUAGAUAAUGUCUCCAUUCUUCUUUGUUGGGAAUUGUUUGGACCAGAGCCUGCAUUACAGUUAUUGAUGAGGAGAUUCAGAUAGGCAGGCUGGAGGACACAAGGCUUUUGUUUUGAGUAGAGUAGAGGUGCAAUCAGCAUGCAGUUAGUGAAGAAAGGUGAAGCUACAAUAAAUACGUAUAGAUGGAUAUUUUAAACAUAUAUUGAGAUUGAUUAGAAUAUGAAGUGUUCAAAUCAAGUGAGUUGAUCAUAGUUGUUCAUUUCCAUCAUCAACAACUAGCCUACUCUCAGUAUUAAAAUACCUGAGUAGGAAUUUAGAUAUCGGCCAACACUUGGGUAAUGUAAAGCUCAGAAUAGACAUCAAUAGGAUGCGGUUUUGGUUAAGGACGAGAUUAUCAGAAUAGCGACUGGUGGGCCGUAUGUCACUGGGUUGACCAGUGGAAAUUCUAAAUUGUCUGGUGACACACUUGAAUGGAGAGUUUUGUCCGGUCGUGGGAAAAGCUCGCUUGGUCGUUUCACAAAUCCAGCGUAUAGCCUCCUCCUACUGAAUCAAACCAAUUAGCCAGGAGCGCGCUCCAGCCAUUGAGAGCCACUGUAGGCUCUGAGAGGAGUUGUUGGUUGAAUGAAAAUGCAUCCCCGGAUUUGGUUCUCCAAGAGAAGCUAUAGAAGUUGCCUUUUGAAGGACGGCUAUAGCACCGUGAAGGGCCAGGCAGAAAGUCCAAAUUGAGACACUUGAAUCAUUUGGGCGAUUAGGUGUGCACACAAUGCGUAAAAGUAUUGUGUGACUCACAUGGGAGGUAUAAUGCAUUUAAAAUCUACAAAAACCAUGAAUAUCUUAAGUGUUCUUCCUUUCUAGGUAACACAACUCAAUGUGAGAACACAACUACAUGUUUUUAUUCCUGAAAUGAUGCGUUUAUGUAAUGACAUGGAUCUCUUGACUUAAUAUCGACUGAAAGAUAUCAUUAGCCUACGCUUAUUCAGAAUAUCAGUGCAAGGGGUAGGCAAAGCCUACAUAGCUCAUCUUUUUCAUAGGCGUUGGACUACAGUAGGCCUAAAUACGUCAUAAGGGCUAAUAAGGGCUUGCUGUCCCCAGUCCACCUGGCCAUGCUGCUGCUCCAGUUUCAACUUCCACCUGACUGUGCUGCUGCUCCAGUUUCAACUGUUCUGCCUUAUUAUUAUUCGACCAUGCUGGUCAUUUAUGAACAUUUGAACAUCUUGGCCAUGUUCUGUUAUAAUCUCCACCCGGCACAGCCAGAAGAGGACUGGCCACCCCACAUAGCCUGGUUCCUCUCUAGGUUUCUUCCUAGGUUUUGGCCUUUCUAGGGAGUUUUUCCUAGCCACCGUGCUUCUACACCUGCAUUGCUUGCUGUUUGGGGUUUUAGGCUGGGUUUCUGUACAGCACUUUGAGAUAUCAGCUGAUGUACGAAGGGCUAUAUAAAUAAAAAAUAAAAAAAAUAAAAAAAAUAAUAGCGGCCAUUUUCUGGAAAAUGUAAACCUUUCCACCUUUUUAAGAAUGAUAUCAAUAUGAGCUACAAAUCUUAAUCCAUUUCAUUAAACCUUAAUUCAAUAUGUGUUUGCGUGUAUGUAAACCUGAUUUAUGCAGUGAGAACUAUAAGGAAUACAGCCUCAACUGUGGAUACUUUUAUGCAACAAAGCUUUAUUCAUAUUCAGGCCUGAAUACCAAUUGUUACAGUUCACGCAUAUGACUGGAUUAAGUUAUGUAUUCCUCUGAACGGAAUAAAGGCUUUUUCUGAAGUAUUUUUCGUUUUAGAAGAUGUUUUAGGCAAAAACACUCCAGAUGCUUUGCGUGAUGGAAUAAAUAAAUAUAUAAAGAGCAUUCUUGCUCCAAGCAUACUAAACAAAAGUGGGACAAAUAUACACUUCAAUUCACAGCAUGAUUGUAGAAAAUGUUGUCUUUUCAUUUAAUGCUAUAAAGAUGAUCCUACUUAUAUUUUGAGAAUAUCUUCUCUAACUUAAGUAAGAAAACGUAUUAAAAAUCAUUUCGGGUUGUAGCAGGUUUUGAGGAAUUCAGAAGUGUUUCAACAGAUGUCUAUAAUAAGUGAUUAGGGAAAAUUGUUAUAACUUACCGGAAAGGCACUGAGGUAUUGGCCUGUAAUUGCAUAUCAAUUAUGUUAUUUUGUGUCUUUACUCCCAGACACCAUUUAUUCCUGUCCGAGUCGCAGGUUUGGAGGACAUUCCUACUUUCGGUUAGCUAGCUUUAUGACGGCCGAGUAACACUCAUACAGCUAGAUAACCAAAGAUAGCAACCGACUCCUUCUCGUACAUACUGCCAGAGUAUCGU